rnacentral:lncRNA from 1 species
CACACGUAUCCAAGAACUUAGAGUAUAAUUUAAAAAAUUAAAAAAGAAAUAGGAGCGUUAGAGACCUAUCCCUAGCCUUUGAGGCUGACAGCAAAUAGAGCAAGGUUUUUUAAGCUUUGAGUUGUGAUUCUAUUAUUGGGUCAUGGAAUCAGUUCAGUGGGUUGGGGCCAGUAGAUAAAAGAAAAAAAAGAGAGAGAAUAGAAUACAAAGUGUUAGUUUUAUAUACAUAAGUAUGUAGAGGUGUGUUUUGUGCAUGUGUGUGAAUGUGAGAACUGGAUUACAAUGUGAUCUCUAUUUCUAACUAUGAGCCACAGUCAAAAAUGUUUUAAAGCCACUAAAAUAGAGCAUCUGUGUCCUCUCGUGAACCCUCUCUUGGUACCACUUUCAAAGGCAAACAUGGGACUAAAGGGACCAUUGGUUUGAUCCAGCAUGGCAUUUCUGAUGUUCUUAUAAAAAAUAUUCUGUUUGGGGCCCAGAAUGACAAAUAGCUCAGAGUCCAAUAGAAACAUCGUUUUCUAAGAGAAGAGAUUGCUUUACAGACAGUAUACAGCAAAAUAAAAUAUCUCACCUCUACAGCUUGUGCCCUCUGUCGCCAAUAAAGAGUUUUUAUAUAAGAUUUUUUCUCUCUCUUUUCAAACUUACAUUUGAUUGAAUAGAUUUCCCAAGAGCUUAAUUCUUCACCUAUCCAAUGUUUCUGACCCUUCACAGGCUACAAGAGAUGGUUCUGGCUAGACCCUGAAGUGCUGAGAAAUGCCUAGUUGUGCAGCAACAGCCAUGUCUGAUUGCACUGGAGGAUUCUUUCUACACCAGUCUCAGCUCAAGUAUGGGGGUCUUGACAUAGAGUAUCUACAGUGCCUGGAACUGUGUCUGGAUAAAGAAGACCUGAAGUACACAUUU